CCCUGCCAGCAGCCAGAGAGCAGGAGCUUGCAAAGCAAAGAUGUGAGAAGCAGCAAGAACUGCAGGUUUUGGCUUCAAAUGAAGAACUUCAAUCCACAAGUCUCUGGAGGGAUCCUUUUGAUGUUCUCUGGUUGUCAGACCCAGAGGUUAAACGAAUGCUGGCACCACAAUGUCUUGGCACUCGCCUUUAAUCCCUGGUAGGAAAACGCAGCAGCCUGAGCAUCAUUUCAACAGGACUGCUGAAAAUGCAUUACUUGAACGUAAUGGAGCUGUUUGGAUUUGGGACUCUUCAAGCCUUAUAACCUCAAAAAAGACAAUAAAUGGUCAAACCAUGCCCCCCAUUCCCCAGCAAGUUUAAAUAACAGAAUCAAGGAGUCUAUCUGAAGCAAAAAUACAUCAUUCAAAAUAUGCCCAAAUGCGGAAAAUAAAAGGCGCACAAACUAUGGCAAGUGAAGUGUAAAAUCAUGAUAUGGCAGGCCAAAAAAUAAUCUGAGGACUUGAAAGUAAUAUUGUUUCAUAGAAAAUACGCCAGAAGUGAGAAGUUUUGGAGGGAGUUGGUGAAACCUAUGAGAGAAUCUGAAUGAAAUGGUACACUUGGGGAAGACAAAGCCAUAGCAGAGAAACUAAAUGAAUUCCUAGCAUUGGUCUUUACCACAGAUGAUGUUGUGGAGUUUCCCCACACAAAACCCUUCUUCUUAUCAGAAAAAUAUGAAGAGUUCACUCAAAAUGACAGAACAAGAGCAGAGUUUUAGACUAAAAUGAUAAACUAAAUACAUUAUGCCAGCAGCAUAAGAUGAUAUUCACCCAACAGUCCUAAAGGAACUCAACUAUGACAUUGCAAAAACCAUUAGCAGAACUGUGCAACCUCUCACUUAUCAGCUUCAGUGCCAGGGGCCUGGACUUUAGAAGCCAGGGUUUUUACAGUGGCAAUCUUUAACAGUGCUCCUGAGAUGGCCCAGAAAACUAUGGAUGGGUGGAUCUAGGGGGUGUGGCAGUGGGGUCAUACCUCCCCUUCUGCUGAGCAGUGCAUGCAUAGUGAGCUUUCCAACCUCAUCCACUGCUUGUCAGAGGCUGGGGCCACAGCCUUGUUUGCAUGCAGCUUCAAAGCCCAGCAGAUCCCAACACCACAGAGCAGCAGACUUUAGUGCUGCCUUAUUGCACUAGCAUCUCAGCCAUCCAUGGUGAACUGACACUUGACCCAUUGGUACAUGACACCUCAGUCCAUUGUUACAAAAUGGAUAGACAAAGCAGUACUUCAGCAUCUACAUUCGUUAGUAAUUAAAAUUAUGUGUAUUUGCAUGCACUUACCAAAAAAGGCAGAGUUAAGGUGGCAGUCAUUACAUUGGGAUUUCUUGACCUCUGAGUAUCUAAAUACCCAACUAAAAGAUUCUUUUUAAUGUUGAUUUUUGCUGAAAUUUUCCAGUUGCUUUCUUUUUGCACUUCAAAAUGGCUCCUGACGCCUUACCUGUUCAACUACUUAAGUCCAGAACCAGGAGCCAAUCCCUAAUAACUUAUCUGUUAGAAAUGUGCAAUUCUUUUUUUUUUUUUUCUUUUUCUUUUUUUUUACCUACAGCUAUGUAAGGCCCUUUUAGUUGUGCACUAGAUGUACAAAAGCUUUUGGUGUUGCUCUGUUGUACUCCAUGCAAGACGGAUGAACUCUGAAUACAUUUUGCCUUAUUCAUCACAAACCUGCAUAAAUUCUCUGCUGUGUCACAACAUUUCCAACCAGGCCAAGCACGUUUUUACCCAGUAGAAAGAAAUAUAUUACUAUUCAUGGGUGACUGGUGCCACCUUUGCUCAUGGGGAGGCACAUGCCCCCUAUGACUAUCUCACUGACUGGGGGUGGAAUUCCCCCCCCCGCAGCCAAUCACACCAACUGGGAAGUGGUUGUGGCACUUCAUCCAGCACUCCCAGUCCCCAGCCAGCACUUGCAGGGGGCACCAGCACUCCCCCCCUGCUCCCUCUGCCCAUUGUCUAACCAGGGGGCAUGGCCUGUCAGGGUGUGCACAACUGUGCAC